rnacentral:rRNA from 1 species
CGGACCGGCGCACGGGUGCGUAACGCGUAUGCAACCUACCAUCAACAGGGGGAUAACACUGAGAAAUUGGUACUAAUACCCCAUAAUAUCUCAUGCGGCAUCGCAUGGGGUUGAAAACUCCGGUGGUUGAUGAUGGGCAUGCGUUGUAUUAGCUGGUUGGUGAGGUAACGGCUCACCAAGGCGACGAUACAUAGGGGGACUGAGAGGUUAACCCCCCCACAUUGGUACUGAGACACGGACCAAACUCCUACGGGAGGCAGCAG